rnacentral:rRNA from 1 species
UACGUAGGGGGCAAGCGUUGUCCGGAAUCAUUGGGCGUAAAGAGCGCGUAGGCGGCCCUGUAAGUCCGCUGUGAAAGUCAAGGGCUCAACCCUUGGAUGCCGGUGGAUACUGCAGGGCUAGAGUCCGGAAGAGGCGAGUGGAAUUCCGGGUGUAGCGGUGGAAUGCGUAGAGAUCCGGAGGAAGACCGGUGGCGAAGGCGGUCUGCUGGGCAGUUUCUGACACUGAGGCGCGACAGCGUGGGGAGCAAACAGG